ensembl:lncRNA
UAGCGUUCUGUAUGUGUUAGUGGUGUGUGUGUGUGUGUGUGUGUGUGUGUGUGUGUGUGUGUGUGUAUGGGUGUGAAUGUGUAUUAUAUUGCAUACGAGUGUAUGAGAGAUUGUUUUGGCCAUGUGUGUGUUUGGGUGCAUUUGCAUAUAGAAAUAAUAAUAAUAAUAAUAAUAAUAAUAACUCCUUAUAUUUAUAUAGUACUUUUCUAGACACUCAAAGUGAUUUACAUUGUAUGGUGUGUGUGUGUGUGUGUGUGUGUGUGUGUGUGUGUGUGUGUGUGUGUGUGUGGAGGAGUAGCAUCCACCUGGAUGAUGUGACGGAAGUGUAGUGCGCCAGAACGCCCACCACACACCAGCUAUUAGUGGAGAGGAGAGAGUGAUGUAGCCAGUUCAGGGAUGGAGAUUAUUAAGGGGCCAUGAUAGCUAAGGGCCAAUGGGGGAAUUUCACCAGGACACCAGGGUUAUACCCCUACUCCUUUAUGAGCUGUGUGGUGGGAUUUUUACUAACCACAGAGAGUCAGGACCUCUGUUUAACGUCUCACCCAAAAGACCGUACAACGAAAGAUGUGUAUUUGUGUGUUUGUUUUGUUUGUGUAUGUGAGUGGGCAUGUGUGUAUGUCUAUGCACGCAUGUGUAUGUUAGUUUUAUGUGUGAGUGAGUGUGUGUUUAUAUGUGUCUGUUUGUGUGUGUGUGUGUGUGUGUGUUUGGUUGCACACGUGUAUGUGCAUUUGUGUGGGUGUGCAUUGUAUCUCUGCAUGUGAGUGUAUGAGAGGUUUUUUUGUUCAAGUGCAUUUUUGUGUAUAUGUUCUGUGUGUGUGUGUGUGUUUGGGUGCAUAUAUGUGUGUAUGUAUGCAUGUGCAUUUGUGUUGUGUGUGUUUGUGUAUAUGAGUGUGCAUGUGUGUGUGAGCGAGUGUGUGUGUGUAUAUUUGUGUGUGUGUAUGUGUAUAUAUGUGUGUAGAUUUUCUGUGUGUGUUUACGUGUGUAUAUUUGUGUGUGUAUAUAUGUGUGUGUAUCUUUUCUCUGUGUGUGUAGAUUUUGUGUGUGUAUAUGUGUGUAGACUUUCUGUGUGUAUGUGUGUAGAUUUUUUGUGUGUGUGUAAGUGUGUUUGUGUGAGUGUGUGUUUAUGUGUGUGAGUGUGUAUUUAUAUGUGUGUGUUUGUAAGUGUGUGUUUAUAUCUGUGUGUGUGUGUGUGUGUGUGUAAGUGGGUUUUUAUAUGUGUGUGCGCUUGUGUGUCCGUGCGUGUGAGUGUGUGUGUGUGAGAGUAAGGGUGUGUUAUGUGUGUGUGUUUGUAAUUGUGUGUUAAUAUGUGUGUGUUUGUGUGUGUUUAUGUGUGUGUAUGUGUGUGUGAGUGUAAUUGUGUGUUCAUAUAUGUGUGUGUAAGUGUGUGUGCGUGCGUGUGUGUAUGCGUGUGCGUGUGUGUAUGCAUGUGCGUGUGCGUGUGUGCGCGCGUGUGUGUGUGCAUAUGUGUGCGUGUGUGUGUGUGUGUGUGUGUGUGUGUGUGUGUGUGCACGUGUGUGCGUGUGUGUGUGUGUGUGUGUGUGUGUGCGUAUGUGUGUGUCUUCUGAGGGCGUGGGUACGCUGUACGCGGGUGGUUAAGCUGUUAGCCUCAGAUGAAUGCAGGGGGAGCUCAGUCUCCUCUUUGAAGUGUGACAGGAGGAGGGGGAUGUUACCACGCCCACCAGGAGGGGCCUGCAGAGAGGGAGAAACUUUCGCCCUGUUUUUGUGAGGAACACUAGAGGUCCAGCUUGAGUCUCAGAUGCUCCGUUUUAAUUCUUACACUAAUUAUUCACCGGUCCUACAGCAAUGCCAGGGCUUCCUGCUUCCUGCUCCGCUUUACACUGUGAUGCAGUGCGCAGGCUGGAAAGAGUAACAGCAACACACACACACACACACACACACACACACACACACACACACUUAUGUACUCACGAUGCCACUACACACCAUUGCUUAGGAGUUUUUUAAAGUAUGAAUGAAAUCAUGUCUGUACAGUUUCUGUUGUUUAUGCUUACAUUUGUGUCAGUGAGGGCUGAAUGGGGGAACUCCCUUUUCACGCAGACCUCCCAGUGUGUGUUUCUCUCCCUGUCCACACACACACACACACUCUCCGAGGCAUGCUAGGUCGUGUCCGGGACCCACCUCAAAGGGAAACGGAGGCCCAGGUGUGCAGCAGGGGUUGGGGCUGGGACGGGUACAGACAGGCCUCGUCCCAAUCCACUGACAAGCGAAGACACUGCCUUGUUCUUCCUCGACAGACUGAGCGGAAGGCUCGGUUAAAAGAUAUCUGUGUUCAUAGGCUGUUGUGCUUGAAAAUCCCAGGAGAUCAGCUGCUUCAGAAAUACUCAAACCGGCCCAUCUGCACCUGCAAGAUCACAUUUUACCCAACUGUGAUGUCAGAUGUGAACAUUUACUGAAGAUCUUGACCUGUAUCUUCAUGAUCUUAUGCACUGCUUUGCUGCAAUGUGAUUGGCUUAUUAGAUAGUUGCAUGAAUGAGCAAGUGUACAUGUGUUCCUAAUAAAUUGUCUGGCGAGUGUAUGAAUUGAGUUUGUCGUUUUUAUUUUUUAGCAUGUUUAGUCCAAAGAGCACAUACUGGACACAACCAUUGUAAUUAUAAUACAUUUUUUGUUUUUACAAAAAUUGAACACACUGAUAUUUGUGUCUACAAACGUGUAGAUACACAACGAGUAUUGAUUUGAACACCUUUGUUUAGAGAAUACACAGAAUUAAAGCAGGAAGGAUGUCUUAAGAACAUUUGGUUAAGGUUCCCUCUGUUUCAAGGUUCUCUCCAGCAAGCACUUUAUCCUGGUAACGGUGCUGGUGGAUCCUGAGCCUUUUGGUUGGGAUGCCAGUCCAGUGCAGGGCACCAUGCACAUACAUUCACACACUCGUUCACACCCAAGGGCUAUUAAGUAUUGACAUUCCACCUACUGGCAUGUUUUUGUGGAAUGCUAAGAAACCAGAGAACCUGGAGAUAGUAACUCGAACUCAGGAUCCUUGGAGAGUCAUUGUGACCUUCUCUUCUGAAUUCAAAACACAAACUAUUCAGUAAAUUCUAUAUGAGUACAAGUAUGUAUCACAAAUAUUUUUCUUCAGUGACCUUUGUUACCAUACCUUAUGGUAGGAGGUCUUAUAAUAUCAUCUGUUUACUUGGACAACAUCUUCAGUGCCAGAUGUGGGAAGAUGUGUGGAUGCUUUGUGCGCAAAACCAUGUUAAACCUUCAGCAUAAGAACAUACGGAAGUACGAAGGUUCAAAACUGUACAACAGUGUUAGGCACCCUAAAUUCAUAAUUAAUAAAUUUUUUUGGUAAAGAAAUUAAACAUGGUUAGCACAUUUACCUGGUUUGGGGUUGGAAUCCAGUCUCCACCCUGUGUGUGCAGAGUUUGCGUGUUCUCCCCAUGCUUUUUGGAGCUCCCUCCAGGUACUCUGGUUUCCUCCUCCAGUCCCCAGUCCAAAGACAUGCAUUGUAGACUGAAUGGCAUUUCCAAAUUGUCCAUAGUGUGUGAAUGUGUGUGCGAUUGUGCCCAGCUAUGGGUUGGUACCCUGUCCAGGGUGUCCCCCGCCUUGUGCCCCGGUCCCCUGGGAUAGACUCCAGGCUCCCCAUAACCCUGUGUAGGAUAAGCCAGUGCAAGAUUUCACAAUUUUGCAAUCGCAGAAAUGAACGCAAAAUCAAGCAAACUCCGCAAUAUUCAGAUGGGCUUACGUUUUUUCAAAAUUACUGCAGAUUUUGCACAGAUUUGGGCCAAGAUGUGUCAUGUGAUGUCUUCACGAUGCGCAUGAACCCAAGCCCUCUUUGAUUCAGUUGUGUCGAGCAUGAGUACAGCUGAAAGGUCUAAUUUACCAACACCCAUCAUCUGUGAAAGAACAUGCAAUUGCAAUUUUGCCAAUUCAAGUAGUUUUCCGGAAACAAAGCCCAAAAAACUCUGCAAAUUACAUUGCAAAUUUUGAAAAAAGCUGCAGCAAAAUCACCAAAAACUCCACGCAAUCCUGUAGGGACUGAUGAGCGGUAUGGAACAUGGAUGGAAUGGGAGGAAUGGUCCAGAGACCUUUUUUUAUUUUGUUAAGAAGGAU